rnacentral:tRNA from 1 species
GCCCCGGUAGCGCAGCUGGUAGAGCGGGUGAUUCGUAAUCACCAGGUCACGGGUUCAAAUCCCGUCCGGGGCU